rnacentral:rRNA from 1 species
AUGUCAUUUUACCUAGCUCACCUCCGUGAAUUUGUUUCCCUUUGGACCACAUUACGUGGUGUCCAACUUGAUAACAAUGUCGAUGAUGAUAUUGUGUGGAAGCACACUGCUGGUGGCCAAUAUACGGCAUGAUCCGCUUAGAAAGCGCAAUUUUUUGAUGCUACCCAAUCUGCUAUGAAGCACACAAUGUGGAAAGCUUGGGCGCCGCCUAAUCUCAAGUUAUUUGCUUGGCUGGCCAUCCAAAAUAGAAUUUGGACCACAUAUACACCGGAUAAGAGUUUUUUGCCAAAUUGUGGCAUUUGCUCCUAUGCAAGGGUGAACAAGAAUUCGUGGAUCACCUCCUCUUCAAAUGUCGGUUUUCUCUCCACCAGUGAGAUAUGCUCAAAGGUUGGCUUCAACUUGAGAGCAAUGAUACUACCACUUGGCACCUCUGGCGUACGACUAGAGAUAGGUUGUUGUAUUAUCCGACAAGGCCAUCCAAUUAUAAAAGUGAUGGCAGCCCUCAUCAUGCUCACCUCGUGGACCAUUUGGAACAAAAGGAAUGCACAUGUCUUCCACCACAAGAACUCCCCGCACCGAUGGUUCUCCUUGCCAACAUCAAGAAGACAUUUAUGCUUUGAGUCAUCGCUGGUGUUAAAAAAUUAG